rnacentral:rRNA from 1 species
AAAAGAAACUAACAAGGAUUCCCCUAGUAACGGCGAGUGAAGCGGGAAGAGCUCAAAUUUGAAAUCUGGUAGCCUUCGGUUGCCCGAGUUGUAAUCUAGAGAAGUGUUUUCCGUGCCGGCCCAUGUACAAGUCCCUUGGAACAGGGCGUCAUAGAGGGUGAGAAUCCCGUCCUUGACAUGGACCCCCGGUGCUUUGUGAUACACUUUCAACGAGUCGAGUUGUUUGGGAAUGCAGCUCAAAAUGGGUGGUGAAUUCCAUCUAAAGCUAAAUAUUGGCGAGAGACCGAUAGCGAACAAGUACCGUGAGGGAAAGAUGAAAAGCACUUUGGAAAGAGAGUUAAACAGUACGUGAAAUUGUUGAAAGGGAAACGAUUGAAGUCAGUCAUGCUCUUAGGAUUCAGCCGUUCUGCGGUGUAUUUCCUUUGAGUGGGGUCAACAUCAGUUUUGAUCGAUGGAUAAAGGCACGAGGAAGGUAGCACUCUCGGGUGAACUUAUAGCCUCGCGUCAUAUACAUUGAUUGGGACUGAGGAACGCAGCAUGCCUUUAUGGCCGGGAUUCGUCCACGUACAUGCUU